rnacentral:rRNA from 1 species
UUAAACUGAAGAGUUUGAUCAUGGCUCAGAUUGAACGCUGGCGGCAGGCUUAACACAUGCAAGUCGAGCGGUAGCACAGAG